GGGCCCGUAGUCUAGCCUGGUUAGGAUGUCCGCCUUACGGGCAUAACGCCAAGAAAGCGGGAGAUCCCGGGUUCAAGUCCCGGCGGGCCCA
rnacentral:tRNA from 1 species